GACGAACGCUGGCGGCGUGCUUAACACAUGCAAGUCGAACGAUGAAGCCCUUUCGGGGGUGGAUUAGUGGCGAACGGGUGAGUAACACGUGGGUAACCUGCCCUGUACCCUGGGAUAAGCCUUGGAAACGAGGUCUAAUACCGGAUAUGACCUGCUCUCGCAUGGGGGUGGGUGGAAAGUUUUGGCGGUGCAGGAUGGACCCGCGGCCUAUCAGCUUGUUGGUGGGGUNAUGGCCUACAAGGCGACGACGGGUAGCCGGCCUGAGAGGGCGACCGGCCACACUGGGACUGAGACACGGCCCAGACUCCUACGGGAGGCAGCAGUGGGGAAUAUUGCACAAU
rnacentral:rRNA from 1 species